CAAUCAUUGCCCAGCUCUCAUCAAGGGUAUCUUAGCUACACAAUGCCCACCUGGGGCCUGAUUCCACCAUGAGAUACAGGCUUCUCAUCUGUGCCUUCCUAUGUCUCCUGGAGACAGCCCUCGUGAACAGUAAAACUAUCCAGACACCACGAUAUCUGGUCAUGGGAAGAGCCAAUAAUAAGUCUUUGAAAUGUGAGCAACACCUGGGAAAUAAUGCAAUGUACUGGUAUAAACAGAGUGCUGGAGAGCCCCCAGAGCUCAUGUUUCUCUACAAACUUAAAGAGCUGAUUCGAAACGAGACUGUACCUAGUUGUUUCUUACCUGAAUGCCGAGACACCUCCCAGCUAUUUCUUCACCUGUCUGCCCUGGAGCCGGGGGACUCAGCUGUGUAUUUCUGUGCCAGCAGCAAAGACACAGCCCUGCAGAUUCAUCAGCUCUCUGUGCACAAACCUGCAAGAUCAGGAAGCUGUGGGACAAUGGAGGGCUGCAUUGAACUUAGCUUCUGUAGGACCCAAGACAGACUGUUGCAAACCAUAGCACUGCCCUCCAACUCAAGACAUGGAUCACUUCUGUAUUUCUUGGCCAUAUUUAGAGGUGUUUCUUUCAUUGCGCACGGCUCUCCUGUCAACUGA